ensembl:lncRNA
UAGGCCUUCUCAAUAUAAAAAAUAUGGCAAUAAUUGACUCCUUAUUUACCUGCGCCUUUCUAAGAGAGUCUUCACGCAAUCCUUUCCGUCUCUUGGUCCGUUUAGGUACCGGAAUGUUUCAAUGGAGCUUUAGUGUUAAGGCUCAUUAGUUAGUUUUCAGCUUUUUAGUUUUUAUUGAAGUAUCUAGAUGAUGAUAGGAAUGCUCUUUAAGUUUUAUGUUUGGCGUGGCACUGUACGCGUCGAACGGGGUUCAUGUUUAUAUCUUUGAAAGCAUCAUUUCUGACAGCCCCUGAACGCAACAUCACAGCUCGCUAAUUUGUCCUGAAGUCUUCUCUGGUAAGUAGCAUUGAGCACCUCUGCUCACGGCUCAUUAUUUGAAUGGUUUAGAUUACGUUUUAGCAUUUUAAAACGGCAUCAUAAUGUUUCUUUAACUCAUGCCAAACAUAAACAUAAAGAGAAAAGUUGAAAAUCCCCCCUGUAUGGCAUAAGCACGAACCCGUGACUAACACUAGCAUAGCAGCUAACACGGACUUCCCCCUUUUUCUCUGUAAAAGUUUAUUGUAACGGUUAUAAAGGGAUGAAACAGCUAAUUAGGUCGCUAGCUAGCUAACACAUUUGUCAGUUACCAUGUCUUAGUCUUAGUGUCAGUCAAGCUUUCGCGUUAGCUUAAUCCCGUUAGCAUAAUGCUAAAGCCGUUAUGAGGGUACUCAAUCCCUGUUAGAUUUCUGUACGGUUAGCUAACGUUAGCCAAUUUCAAUGCAUUUAUGAAACCUCUAAAACCAAAUCAUUGUUUUCAUUAACUCAACUAACUUCAAUCAAGCUGAGAAAUGUUAAAAUGCAAAUAAAUAAACCAACAUCAGCAUAAUUAGCUCUAGUAGCCUGCUAGGCGCUAGCUGAGGCUAACCAUUGACUUGAGUAAGAACGAGCUCAUUUAUGUCAUAAAUACUGUGGGUGCUUGUCUAAGGCAUGUCUGUGUUUUUUAUCUGUUUUUAUUUAUUUAUUGUAUACAUAUUUAUUUUAUGUAUGACUGAGAUUGACUUUAAUCUGGGUUGUCAUGUUAUAUCAGCAAUAUUUAAACUGCAGUAAUCUACUUCUGUAAUUACUUUUUUUAAAACGCGGCAACGUAAAACUUACUACAAGUUUGUCUUAUUGUUUCCUCUCCUAGACAACAGAACAUCGAUCAUCUCCUCUGUGGUUAGUAAGUAUAGUAAUAUUGUACCUGAAAUUGAUAACAGGCCACAUAACUGUUUAGCAUCUGGAUGCUUUUUUCAAUUGUUGAUUUAUUUUGUUGUUUAUCUUAUUUAAUGAACAGUUGUUUGGGCUUUAAAAUAUUAGACAAUUGUGAAAACGUCAUGCAAAAGUCUCCCAGGAUUAUGUCCUUGUGUUUUGCCCAUAAGUCAGAGAGAUUCAGUUUACUCUCAUAGAGAAGCAAAGCAAUCAGAAAAUAUUGCAUAUUGCAGCCGGAAUCAGAGAAUUUAACUUCAUUCGUCAAUGAAUAGCAACAUCUUGAAUGCUGUGUACCAUAGUGCUAUAGAUUUGCACAUCUUAAAUCCUUCAGAAGCAAUGACAGCAAUCAAAGGUAAACAGUUUAGUCUUGUUAGCAAGACAGUUAGUAUUACCACACAGCUCAGUUUCACACUGCAAUAUACAAUUAUCUUCCUAGAAAAACGUCACUUUGGAAUGAGAUGGAUAAUACAUGAAGUAAUAACUUGAGACAUUUAUAAUGAAUAGAAUAAUGACUUUUGAACGAGACAGUGAUUUUAAAUAAGGACAUACAGAGUCCACCUGAAAUAACUUUUAAUUCAAAUAAGCAAUGAGGUUGCUUUUUAAAAUGUAACUGAGAAUGUCUCUUUUUUUUUUUCUUCUCUCCAUCCCUCACCCUCCUUGGACUCUUCCUGGACUCCUCCUUUUUGUGUUUAACUGCAGAACCUCACUGCUGGUGAAUUAUUGCUGACACUGAGCUAAGUGGCCUAGUCUUCCCUGUCUACUCCACUUUGGACGUCUUGGUGAUCUGACAGUGUCCUGCUGGCCAGCAUCUCUCCUCUAUCAUAAACGCUCUCUGUCUAUCCUAUACCUUCUAUCCACUCUGUCUCAUUAUUGGAACCUCUAUCUAUCCUAUCACAUCUACCGCUCUGUCUUUGAUAUCCACAACUCUAUCUUUGUAUCCCCCUUCUAUCCACUCUGUCUCAUUAUUGGAACCUCUAUCUAUCCUAUCAAAUCUACCGCUCUGUCUACAAUAUACAAUUCAGGUUACUAAUACCUGAUCUAACCACAUAACGUUGGUUACCCUUUAUUACAACAACCUCACAAGUACCUGAUCCAUCUUUUGAUGAACAAACUCUGCUGAACCACAUUACGUUGGUACCCUUUGUUACAACAACCUCAGGUUACAAGUACCUGUUCUACUAGAUCUACUAUCAGAUUAUCCUCUUUUAAUCUUCUAUCUACACGCAAUAGAAUACGAUUACUAUCUACAAAUUGGGCAAAGCUUUUGGAAUAAACUGAGUCUGUUUUAGUCAGAAUUAGUUUGAACGUAAAAUUGGAAAAAAGGUUAACAGGAUAUUUAUACACAUAGCACGGUUUCUUUAAUUGAAUAUCACUAGAUAUAUUAGCAAAAUUAUUGUUUACUUUAUUUAAAAUCUUUUUCAUAUACACAUACAUUGUUUAAGUGUCCAAGUGUUUUGUUGUUAAACUUUUCAUACUGAAAUAAAAUACAAGCAUCUGUCAGAAUUGGAUUUAUUUGACGUUUCCUGUCUGCAGACCCAACGUUCUUUUGGAGCAUUCAUCUGCCAUCAAACUCACACCACUGUUCCUGGUUUUGAAUAUAAACUAGUAUAACAUAGUAUUCAUAUUGUAUUUAAUAUCUUGGUUUUGUACGACAACAUUUGUGGUUUUGAAACAUCAACAAUGCCAAGGAAGAGUAAGAGGUCACAAGAUCAGAGCCUGCGCUGGCAGCGGCCCAAUGAGAAUCCCUGUGCAACAACGACUGAAGGAGCAGAAUGUGUUGGUCCUGAGAGCAGUGAAGAGGUAAAGAUGUCUGCAGAGUGUAAACGUGUGGAGCAGGAAGGUCAGCCUGAUGCUUCAUGUGCACCACCACCAUCUUAUGCAGAUGCUGUAAAGAGAGGACAGCACAGUGAUGAUCCAUGUGUAGCAGGACCUUCUAAUGUGAAGUAGCCAGGCUUCUAUCAGAUACGGCAGAUCCAGGAAUCGGCAGUGCACCUGUAACUCACUGACCUUUCUUGCAUUCCUCCAUGAGAAUGAAAGCAUCACCAGAGCAGACCUGGACCAUGUUUUGGAUAAAGGUAACACGAUGUAUAGAGAGACCAGGAAACAAGUCACUAAUCACAUCUAUCUGACCACCGACGAGCUCACUGAUGAAGUUCCUGCACGCAGCGCUACACACUAUGCAGACAUGACUCAGCUUUCAAGGUACGGCACAUUAGGAGAACCUUUACCUGGAUCUGUGGACAGCUUUCUGGACCUGGAGUCAGGACUCAGCUGCUUGUUGUCAGAUGUGAAGUACGCUCUGCUGUUGAUGAGACUCUUGUGUAUCGCAGUGUUCAGAACCAAGUCGGGCAGAUACGGUUUCUUUGACCCACACUCCAGAACAGCCAGAGGUUUGCCCCUACCAGCCGGUUCACGCACACCAGGUACUGCUGUCAUGGUGACAUUCUCACGUCUCAGUGACAUGAUUGACAGACUCAAGAAGUCCCACAGAAUGAUGGACACACAGUCCUCCUGUAACUAUGAGUUAAAGCCUGUGGAGUUCUACAACAUGAACACAGUCAACCUGAACGAUGGUCUCCCA